rnacentral:rRNA from 1 species
UACGUAGGGUGCGAGCGUUGUCCGGAAUUAUUGGGCGUAAAGAGCUCGUAGGCGGUCUGUCACGUCGGAUGUGAAAACUCGGGGCUCAACCCCGAGCCUGCAUUCGAUACGGGCAGACUAGAGUUCGGUAGGGGAGACUGGAAUUCCUGGUGUAGCGGUGAAAUGCGCAGAUAUCAGGAGGAACACCAAUGGCGAAGGCAGCACUCUGGGACGGUACUGACGCUGAGACGCGAAAGCGUGGGGAGCAAACAGG